rnacentral:rRNA from 1 species
GAUGAACGCUGGCGGCGUGCCUAAUACAUGCAAGUCGAGCGAACAGACGAGGAGCUUGCUCCUCUGACGUUAGCGGCGGACGGGUGAGUAACACGUGGAUAACCUACCUAUAAGACUGGGAUAACUUCGGGAAACCGGAGCUAAUACCGGAUAAUAUAUUGAACCGCAUGGUUCAAUAGUGAAAGACGGUUUUGCUGUCACUUAUAGAUGGAUCCGCGCCGCAUUAGCUAGUUGGUAAGGUAACGGCUUACCAAGGCAACGAUGCGUAGCCGACCUGAGAGGGUGAUCGGCAACACUGGAACGGAGACACGGUCCAGACUCCUACGGGAGGCAGCAGUAGGGAAUCUUCCGCAAUGGGCGAAAGCCUGACGGAGCAACGCAGCGUGGUUGAUGAAGGUCUUCGGAUCGUAAAACUCUGUUAUUAGGGAAGACCAAUUGUGUAAGUAACUAUGCACGUCUUGACGGUACCUAAUCAGAAAGCCACGGCUAACUACGUG